UAAUAAAUAUUAUAAUUGCAUUUUUAUAUAAUUGUCAAUUGGGCAAUAGAGCCCAAUUAUUAAUUUUGUGUCAAAUUAUUUUUUAUACAUUGCUGAAAAAUGAAUUUAACAUGUAUCAUAAUGUUAAUUAUUACGACUAUCGGAUAUUCGUUUGAAUAUGAUAUGUGUACUUCAACUUUUUGGUAUUUCUGUAUCUGAUAAUUACUACAUUAAGGUAAAUCUCUCCAAUCUAGACCAAGAAACAAUAAUCUAUCUCUUUAUUCUAAUUUUUAUGAUUGGCUAUGAAUAAUAUAACCAAUAAGAUACAUUAUUGUCAAUUUGUCGUCAUGUUUUUGAGAAUUAAAAAAUUGUGUUCAACAUUAAUAUAUUCAGUGCAGAAAAUGAAUACACAGUGUACGAUACUAUUUAAUUCUACGACUACCGGAUAAUAUAUUGAAUAAGAUAAAUGUUCUUCAAUAUUACAGUAAUUCUGUAUUUGUUAAUUACUUCUUUUUGAUAAAUACCACCGAUCUUGGCCGAGUAUCAAUAUCUGACUACUCCAAUCUGAUUUUAUUUAUUCCUAAUAAAUAAUAAAACUGCAUUUUUAUAUAAUUGUCAAUUGGUGGGCAAUAGAGCCCAAUUAUUAAUUUUAUGUCAAAUUAUUUUUUAUACAUUGCUGAAAAGUGAAUUUAACAUGUAUCAUAAUGUUAAAAUUUACGACUAUCGGAUAUUCGUUUGAAUAUGAUAUGUGUACUUCAACUUUUUGGUAUUUCUGUAUCUGAUAAUUACUACAUUAAGGUAAAUCUCUCCAAUCUAGACCAAGAAACAAUAAUCUAUCUCUUUAUUCUAAUUUUUAUGAUUGGCUAUGAAUAAUAUAACCAAUAAGAUACAUUAUUGUCAAUUUGUCGUCAUGUUUUUGAGAAUUAAAAAAUUGUGUUCAACAUUAAUAUAUUCAGUGCAGAAAAUGAAUACAAAGUGUACGAUACUAUUUAAUUCUACGACUACCGGAUAAUAUUUUGAAUAUGAUAAAUGUUCUUCAAUAUUACAGUAAUUCUGUAUUUGUUAAUUACUUCUUUUUGAUAAAUACCACCGAUCUUGGCCGAGUAUCAAUAUCUGACUACUCCAAUCUGAUUUUAUUUAUUCCUAAUAAAUAAUAAAAUUGCAUUUUUAUAUAAUUGUCAAUUGGGCAAUAGAGCCCAAUUAUUAAUUUUGUGUCAAAUUAUUUUUUAUACAUUGCUGAAAAGUGAAUUUAACAUGUAUCAUAAUGUUAAAAUUUACGACUAUCGGAUAUUCGUUUGAAUAUGAUAUGUGUACUUCAACUUUUUGGUAUUUCUGUAUCUGAUAAUUACUACAUUAAGGUAAAUCUCUCCAAUCUAGACCAAGAAACAAUAAUCUAUCUCUUUAUUCUAAUUUUUAUGAUUGGCUAUGAAUAAUAUAACCAAUAAGAUACAUUAUUGUCAAUUUGUCGUCAUGUUUUUGAGAAUUAAAAAAUUGUGUUCAACAUUAAUAUAUUCAGUGCAGAAAAUGAAUACAAAGUGUACGAUACUAUUUAAUUCUACUACUAUCUGAUAUUCGUUUGAAUGUGAUACGUGUACUUCAAUUUUUUGGUAUUUCUGUAUCUGAUAAUUACUACUUCGAGAUAAAUCUCUCCAAUCUACAUCAUGAAACAAUAAUCUAUUUCUGUAUGAUUAUUUUUAUAAUUGGCUAUGAAUAAUAUAACCAAUAAGAUAUAUUAUUGUCAAUUUGUCGUCAUGUUUUUGAGAUUUAAAAAAUUGUGUUCAACAUUAAUAUAUUCAGUGCAGAAAAUGAAUACAAAGUGUACGAUACUAUUUAAUUCUACGACUACCGGAUAAUAUUUUGAAUAUGAUAAAUGUUCUUCAAUAUUACAGUAAUUCUGUAUUUGUUAAUUACUUCUUUUUGAUAAAUACCACCGAUCUUGGCCGAGUAUCAAUAUCUGACUACUCCAAUCUGAUUUUAUUUAUUCCUAAUAAAUAAUAAAAUUGCAUUUUUAUAUAAUUGUCAAUUAGGCAAUAGAGCGCAAUUUUAAAUUUUGUGUCAAAUUAUUUUUUAUAUAUUGCUGAAAAGUGAAUUUAACAUGUAUCAUAAUGUUAAAAUUUACGACUAUCGGAUAUUCGUUUGAAUAUGAUAUGUGUACUUCAACUUUUUGGUAUUUCUGUAUCUGAUAAUUACUACAUUAAGGUAAAUCUCUCCAAUCUAGACCAAGAAACAAUAAUCUAUCUCUUUAUUCUAAUUUUUAUGAUUGGCUAUGAAUAAUAUAACCAAUAAGAUACAUUAUUGUCAAUUUGUCGUCAUGUUUUUGAGAAUUAAAAAAUUGUGUUCAACAUUAAUAUAUUCAGUGCAGAAAAUGAAUACAAAGUGUACGAUACUAUUUAAUUCUACGACUACCGGAUAAUAUUUUGAAUAUGAUAAAUGUUCUUCAAUAUUACAGUAAUUCUGUAUUUGUUAAUUACUUCUUUUUGAUAAAUACCACCGAUCUUGGCCGAGUAUCAAUAUCUGACUACUCCAAUCUGAUUUUAUUUAUUCCUAAUAAAUAAUAAAAUUGCAUUUUUAUAUAAUUGUCAAUUGGGCAAUAGAGCCCAAUUAUUAAUUUUGUGUCAAAUUAUUUUUUAUACAUUGCUGAAAAGUGAAUUUAACAUGUAUCAUAAUGUUAAAAUUUACGACUAUCGGAUAUUCGUUUGAAUAUGAUAUGUGUACUUCAAUUUUUUGGUAUUUCUGUAUCUGAUAAUUACUACUUCGAGAUAAAUCUCUCCAAUCUACAUCAUGAAACAAUAAUCUAUUUCUGUAUGAUUAUUUUUAUAAUUGGCUAUGAAUAAUAUAACCAAUAAGAUAUAUUAUUGUCAAUUUGUCGUCAUGUUUUUGAGAAUUAAAAAAUUGUGUUCAACAUUAAUAUAUUCAGUGCAGAAAAUGAAUACAAAGUGUACGA